rnacentral:rRNA from 1 species
UUUACUAUCAAAUCCGAAUUAUAUAAAUGUUUAAAUGUCUAUAACUUCAUAUAUUAAUAAUGUAACCCAUAAUUACUUAAUUAUAACUAACCCUUGACCUAACAUUAAAGAUUAAAAACUAGUUAGAAGAUUAACUUUUUAGUACAUUCAUGAUAGAGGUAUAUAAGUAAAAAAUCAAGUAAAAUUUAUUGUGGUUUAUCAAUUAAAAUACAGGUUCCUCUGAACAGCUAAAUUACCGCCAAAUCUUUUAAAUUUAAAGAACAAAACUACUAAUAAUUUAGUGUAAAUUUAUUUACAAUUAUAAUAGUGGGGUAUCUAAUCCCAGUUU